GCCCUUACAGUUUUUUGUUUUUAAAAAAAUUUCCAAGUCAUUUAAAAAAAACUGCAAACAAAAAAGGGGACAUAUUUUCCCCUUGCCUUACCCCAUUAUUACACGGAAAAUAAUCAGACUUGCUGUUAUUAAAAAUAAUAUUUGAUUUAAUAUUUUUGUACAUACUUUGAAUCACAUUUAACAUUUUCCCAUUUACAUUGUUUAACAAUAGUUUAUGCCAAAGUCCAUCCCUCCAAAUUUUGUCAAAAGCCUUUUCAAAGUCUAUAAAUGCACAAUAAAGUUUUUUCUUUCUUUUCUUCAGAAGUUCAAACAAAGAAU
rnacentral:lncRNA from 1 species